rnacentral:lncRNA from 1 species
UGCUUGAGCAGGGGGGUUGGACUAGAUGAUCUCCAGAGGUCCCUUCCAACCUCAGCGAUUCUGUGAUUCUGUGAUUCUGCGAUUCUUUCUUCUUUCUUCUCGAGGCAGGAGGAUUCACAAGGGACUGUUUGGCUGCUGUUCCAUGACAACAGUUUACAGUAUCAUCCGUUUCCACAUGCAGCUAUGUCUUAUUCAAACAAUCACCAAGAUUAUUAAUAUGCAGAGCAAACAGUGAAAGACCCAAUAUGAAUCUCUGUAGAAGUUAUCUGGGAAUGAAUAAAUAUUAAGAGUAAAUAUUUGCUGGCUUGAUA